rnacentral:misc_RNA from 1 species
GUACCAUUCACCGCUUGACUAAAAUGGUAAAUUAAAAUAAAAUACAGUGUAAAAUCCAGAAUCUUUCUAAUCUACCAUUUUAGUCAAGCGGUGAAUGGUACUCCUCGCAAUCCUAUUAGCAGGAUCGAUCUUCAGAACAGUCCUCAGGUCUUCUGCCCCAAGUUUGUACUUUUCCAUACUUUCAUACAGGAGUGCACGUUGUACAAGAACAGAUACAUUUGCAUCAUCAUGUUCAAGCACCUUUGUACAGUCAGCCACUGCCUUCUUAUAUUCUCCAACUUCUUUAUAACAUGAAGCUCUGCAAGAUAAAACCUCCAUGCUGGAAGCCUGAUCACCAGUUUUCUCAAGAAGAACUACAGCCCAAGACAACCACUUGAUGGCAUCAGCGUAUUGGCCCUGCUUUUGGUUAUCAAUACCCUUGUUCUUUGCUGCAGAAGCUGUGACCCCAACAGGAGGAGGUGGAAGCCCUUCAAGCUCAGUCGUUGCCCCACCUGAAUCAUUUCCAGCUCCUCCUCCUAACUCUGAAUCCAAUCCCCAAUCAUCAACUUCUGAGAACUGCUGCCCUCCCGUUCCUCUAGAUGCUGUUGCUGCACCUCCCGAGGAAGAGGAAAAUAACAUGUCAAGUGGAUCUCCACUUGAUGUUUGAAGAGAAGUCUGCUUCUGAGAAGUUAAGUCAUUGCUAGGCAUCCCAAAAUCAUCAACAUUUGAAUUGGAACAGAUAUUUGAUCCCAUGAAAUCAUUGUUCUUUGCACCAAAACCACCUGAUGGAAAAGCUGUUGUGCUUGGUUUUGCAGCAUUUUGAAAAUCUCCAAAUGCAUCAUCUCUUGCACUAGUCUUAACAGUUUUACUUUCCGGAUUAAGACCACCAUAUUGUUGUUUUGAUCCAAAAUCAACCAAA